rnacentral:rRNA from 1 species
AGAGUUUGAUCCUGGCUCAGAACGAACGCUGGCGGCGUGUUUAAGACAUGCAAGUCGCACGGUGUCAUUUUGGUAGCAAUACUUGGAUGGCACAGUGGCGCACGGGUGAGUAACACGUGAAUGACAUGCCCUUCAGAGGGGGAUAGCCCAGGGAAACUUGGAUUAAUACCCCAUGGUCUCGCGAGAGUAAAGGCGGCCGCAAGGCUGUCGCUGGAGGAUUGGUUCGCGUUCUAUCAGCUUGUUGGCGGGGUAACGGCCCACCAAGGCUACGACGGAUACCUGGUCUGAGAGGACGAUCAGGCACACUUGAACUGAGACACGGUCCAGACACCUACGGGUGGCAGCAGUCGAGAAUAAUUCACAAUGGGGGCAACCCUGAUGGGGCAACGCCGCGUGGAGGAUGAAGGUCUUCGGAUUGUAACCUCCUUCAUCCGGGAGUAAGACCUGGCCGUUAAUAGCGGACAGGGUUGAUAGACCUCAAUGGUAAGGAACAAU